rnacentral:rRNA from 1 species
CCUACGGGAGGCAGAAGUGAGGAAUAUUGGUCAAUGGACGAGAGUCUGAACCAGCCAAGUAGCGUGAAGGAUGACUGUCCUAUGGGUUGUAAACUUCUUUUGUCUGGGAAUAAAGUGUUCCACGUGUGGGAGUUUGUGUGUACCAGAUGAAUAAGGAUCGGCUAACUCCGUGCCAGCAGCCGCGGUAAUACGGAGGAUCCGAGCGUUAUCCGGAUUUAUUGGGUUUAAAGGGAGCGUAGGUGGAUUGUUAAGUCAGUUGUGAAAGUCUGCGGCUCAACCGUAAAAUUGCAGUUGAAACUGGUAGUCUUGAGUACAGUAGAGGUGGGCGGAAUUCGUGGUGUAGCGGUGAAAUGCUUAGAUAUCACGAAGAACUCCGAUUGCGAAGGCAGCUCACUGGACUGCAACUGACACUGAGGCUCGAAAGUGUGGGUAUCAAACAGGAUUAGAUACCCGGGUAGUC